rnacentral:rRNA from 1 species
AUUGAACGCUGGCGGCAGGCCUAACACAUGCAAGUCGAGCGGAUGAAGGGAGCUUGCUCCUGGAUUCAGCGGCGGACGGGUGAGUAAUGCCUAGGAAUCUGCCUGGUAGUGGGGGAUAACGUCCGGUAACGGGCGCUAAUACCGCAUACGUCCUGAGGGAGAAAGUGGGGGAUCUUCGGACCUCACGCUAUCAGAUGAGCCUAGGUCGGAUUAGCUAGUUGGUGGGGUAAAGGCCUACCAAGGCGACGAUCCGUAACUGGUCUGAGAGGAUGAUCAGUCACACUGGAACUGAGACACGGUCCAGACUCCUACGGGAGGCAGCAGUGGGGAAUAUUGGACAAUGGGCGAAAGCCUGAUCCAGCCAUGCCGCGUGUGUGAAGAAGGUCUUCGGAUUGUAAAGCACUUUAAGUUGGGAGGAAGGGAAGUAAGUUAAUACCUUGAUGUUUUGACGUUACCAACAGAGUAAGCACCGGCUAACUUCGUG